rnacentral:lncRNA from 1 species
UCGCCCAGUCUAAGAGAUUGCGUCUCUUGGACUUUCCAAAAGGGGAGGCUUGUGCCUCCUCUCUUCUUUACAAUAAUUUCACGCCACAUAAGAAAAUAACAAGGGAAAAAAUGAGAAGAUUAGUUUGCCAAUUAAUUGGCUUGAUCCAAUCUUUUUAGGCCCUUAAAUAGGUGAUCAGCUAAAUCCAAAUCAAAAUAGAUUUAGAUUAAAUUCAAGGCUAUGGACUUGAUUCAAUCUUUAUCUAAUAAGAAAUCGAAGUCCAGAGAAGAAUUGGAUUUAACCAU